AAUGGGGGAAACCCUGACGCAGCAACGCCGCGUGGAGGAAGAAGGCCUUCGGGUCGUAAACUCCUUUUCUGAGGGAUGAGGAAGGACAGUACCUCAGGAAUAAGACCCGGCUAACUACGUGCCAGCAGCCACGGUAAAACGUAGGGGUCAAGCGUUAUCCGGAUUUACUGGGCGUAAAGCGCAUGUAGGCGGUUGGAAAAGUUGGACGUGAAAGCUCCUGGCUCAACUAGGAGAGGCCGUUCAAAACUGUCCGACUCGAGGGUGAUAGAGGCGAGUGGAAUUCCCGGUGUAGUGGUGAAAUGCGUAGAUAUCGGGAGGAACACCAGUGGCGAAAGCGGCUCGCUGGGUCAUGCCUGACGCUGAGAUGCGAAAGCUAGGGGAGAGAACGGGAUU
rnacentral:rRNA from 1 species